rnacentral:rRNA from 1 species
AUUGAACGCUGGCGGCAGGCCUAACACAUGCAAGUAGAACGAGUGGCGGACGGGUGAGUAAUGUCUGGGAAACUGCCUGAUGGAAGGGGAUAACUACUGGAAACGGUAGCUAAUACCGCAUACCAUCAGAUGUGCCCAGAUGGGAUUAGCUUGGUGGUGGGGUAAAGACUCACCAAGGCGACGAACCCUAGCUGUUCUGAGAGGAUGACCAGCAAAACUGUACCUGAGAAACGGUCCAGAUUCCUACGGGACGCAGCAGUGGGGAAUAUUGCACAAUGGGCGCAAGCCUGAUGCAGCCAGGCCGCGUGUAUGAAGAAGGCCUUCGGGUUGUAAAGUACUUUCAGCGGGGAGGCGUUACCCGCAGAAGAAGCACCGGCUAACUCCGUGCCAGCAGCCGCGGUAAUUC